GAUGAACGCUGGCGGCGUGCCUAAUACAUGCAAGUCGAGCGAACAGACGAGGAGCUUGCUCCUCUGACGUUAGCGGCGGACGGGUGAGUAACACGUGGAUAACCUACCUAUAAGACUGGGAUAACUUCGGGAAACCGGAGCUAAUACCGGAUAAUAUAUUGAACCGCAUGGUUCAAUAGUGAAAGACGGUUUUGCUGUCACUUAUAGAUGGAUCCGCGCCGCAUUAGCUAGUUGGUAAGGUAACGGCUUACCAAGGCAACGAUGCGUAGCCGACCUGAGAGGGUGAUCGGCCACACUGGAACUGAGACACGGUCCAGACUCCUACGGGAGGCAGCAGUAGGGAAUCUUCCGCAAUGGGCGAAAGCCUGACGGAGCAACGCCGCGUGAGUGAUGAAGGUCUUCGGAUCGUAAAACUCUGUUAUUAGGGAAGAAUAAAUGUGUAAGUAACUAUGCACGUCUUGACGGUACCUAAUCAGAAAGCCACGGCUAACUACGUGCCAGCAGCCGCGGUGAUACGUAGGGUGCGAGCGUUGUCCGGAUUUAUUGGGCGUAAAGGGCUCGUAGGUGGUUGAUCGCGUCGGAAGUGUAAUCUUGGGGCUUAACCCUGAGCGUGCUUUCGAUACGGGUUGACUUGAGGAAGGUAGGGGAGAAUGGAAUUCCUGGUGGAGCGGUGGAAUGCGCAGAUAUCAGGAGGAACACCAGUGGCGAAGGCGGUUCUCUGGGCCUUUCCUGACGCUGAGGAGCGAAAGCGUGGGGAGCGAACAGGCUUAGAUACCCUGGUAGUCCACGCUGUAAACGGUGGGUACUAGGUGUGGGGUCCAUUCCACGGGUUCCGUGCCGUAGCUAACGCUUUAAGUACCCCGCCUGGGGAGUACGGCCGCAAGGCUAAAACUCAAAGGAAUUGACGGGGCCCCGCACAAGCGGCGGAGCAUGCGGAUUAAUUCGAUGCAACGCGUAGAACCUUACCUGGGUUUGACAUGGAUCGGGAGUGCUCAGAGAUGGGUGUGCCUCUUUUGGGGUCGGUUCACAGGUGGUGCAUGCCUGUCGUCAGCUCGUGUCGUGAGAUGUUGGGUUAAGUCCCGCAACGAGCGCAACCCUUGUUCACUGUUGCCAGCACGUUAUGGUGGGGACUCAGUGGGGACCGCCGGGGUCAACUCGGAGGAAGGUGGGGAUGACGUCAAGUCAUCAUGCCCCUUAUGUCCAGGGCUUCACGCAUGCUACAAUGGCUGGUACAGAGAGUGGCGAGCCUGUGAGGGUGAGCGAAUCUCGGAAAGCCGGUCUCAGUUCGGAUUGGGGUCUGCAACUCGACCUCAUGAAGUCGGAGUCGCUAGUAAUCGCAGAUCAGCAACGCUGCGGUGAAUACGUUCCCGGGGCU
rnacentral:rRNA from 1 species